CCUACGGGUGGCAGCAGUGGGGAAUAUUGCACAAUGGGGGAAACCCUGAUGCAGCGACGCCGCGUGAGUGAAGAAGUAAUUCGGUAUGUAAAGCUCUAUCAGCAGGGAAGAAAAUGACGGCACCUGAGUAAGAAGCCCCGGCUAACUACGUGCCAGCAGCCGCGGUAAUACGUAGGGGGCAAGCGUUAUCCGGAUUUACUGGGGGUAAAGGGAGCGUAGACGGGUGUGCAAGUCUGGAGUGAAAGGCGGAGGCUCAACCCCCGGAAAGCUUGGGAAACUGUAAGGCUGGAGUGCAGGAGAGGUGAGUGGAAUUCCUAGUGUAGCGGUGAAAUGCGUAGAUAUUAGGAGGAACACCAGUUGCGAAGGCGGCUUACUGGACUGUAACUGACGUUGAGGCUCGAAAGCGUGGGGAGCAAACAGGAUUAGAUACCCGAGUAGUC
rnacentral:rRNA from 1 species